GUUUUGUUGUCCUCGUAAUAGUCUAGAAUUGGUUUAAGAUUACUUAUAUAAAUCAAGUAAUCAACUAUAUUAAUCAAAUUCCUAGUGCUCCUCUGUCUAAAAUUUCUUGAAUUCUCCCCCACUCCACACUGAAAAUAAAGGGGAAGUGAUGAAUGCAUAUUGUCUACGCAAAUUCAUUCUGAUUCUUGCCAUCUAAAGGAUAUUCCUUUG
rnacentral:misc_RNA from 1 species